GCGGGUAUGGCCGAGAGGUAAGGCACCGGUUUGCUAAACCGAGGUUGGAUGAAAGUCCAGCGGGGAUCGUUACCCUGUGCCCGCG
rnacentral:tRNA from 1 species